AAAAAAUGACGCUCUUGUAUAGAGUUAGUUUUUGUUUCAUAUUGGUUAGUCAAUCCGUGUCACAAAACUUCGUCAUGAAGUAUGGAUGUUACAGCCCAUCGUCUUCAUCCUGCUCUAAACAUACUUUGUCUUGUGGUACUGACAAGAUUAUUAUCGACGAACGGAAUUACAGAUUAUCGUACGGUAGACAUGAUUCCAAUUCGUCAUGUGGGUGUGGUAAUAACCAAUGCUGUAGGAAGAAAACGGCGGACCAGGUAGAUCCAGUUAGUCAAGAUUAUCGUUUACAAGUUUAUAAGAACUGUUCUAAUGAACAUAGCUGUAUCCUCGAGUCCCCUUACAGCCCUGAUAGCAACUAUCAUUAUAUUCAAUAUCCAGUAAUGUGUAUGAUUGAUAAUAACCUUUUUAACAUCAUGAAUAUUACAAGUCCGGUGACAGCAUUAAGAUAUAUGCGAUUAUAUUUCUCUGGACAAGAUACACCAACACGAGGUCUGACCUGUUCUUGUAACGUGUCUGUCUCGCACCCGGUCUUUAUCCAAGAAUGGGUCGUCAGUCUAGUUGGUGAAUCGUGUGGCAGGGUGGAUGUCAUUGUAAAUGGUAGACGGAAACUGAACUGCAGUACUGGCGGUUUAUUUCUAUCGAUGGGAGAAAUGCAAAC